rnacentral:rRNA from 1 species
GACGAACGCUGGCGGCGUGCCUAAUACAUGCAAGUCGAACGCAGUGGGGACGGGUGAGUAACACGUGGGUAACCUCCCAUCAGAGGGGAUAACACUUGGAAACAGGUGCUAAACCGCUACUGAUGGAUGGACCCGCGGUGCAUUAGCUAGUUGGUGAGGUAACGGCUCACCAAGGCCACGAUGCAUAGCCGACCUGAGAGGGUGAUCGGCCACACUGGAGCGGAGACACGGCCCAGACUCCGACGGGAGGCAGCGGUAGGGAAUCUUCGGCAAUGGACUAAAGUCGGACCGAGCAACGCCGCGUGAGUGAAGAAGGUUUUCGGAUCGGAAACCUCUGUUGGUAGAGAAGCGGUAUCUAACCAGAAAGCCACGGCUAACUACGUGCCAGCCGCCGCGGUAAUAC